rnacentral:rRNA from 1 species
GACGUAGGGUGCGAGCGUUGUCCGGAUUUAUUGGGCGUAAAGAGCUCGUAGGCGGCUCGUCGCGUCGACCGUGAAAACCCGCGGCUUAACUGCGGGCUUGCGGUUGAUACGGGCGGGCUAGAGUUCGGUAGGGGAGACUGGAAUUCCUGGUGUAGCGGUGAAAUGCGCAGAUAUCAGGAGGAACACCGGUGGCGAAGGCGGGUCUCUGGGCCGAUACUGACGCUGAGGAGCGAAAAGCGUGGGGGAGCGAACAGG